rnacentral:rRNA from 1 species
ACUAAACGCUGGCGGCGUGCCUAACACAUGCAAGUCGUACGAGAAAGUCGGCUUCGGCUGAUGAGUAAAGUGGCGCACGGGUGAGUAACGCGUGGAUAAUCUGCCCUUGAGUGUGGAAUAACGUACCGAAAGGUGCGCUAAUACCGCAUAAUGCCUGGCAACACAAGUUGUCCGGCCAAAGAAGGCCUCUGUUUACAAGCUUUUGCUCAAGGAUGAGUCCGCGUACCAUUAGCUAGUUGGUGGGUAACGGCCUACCAAGGCUACGAUGGUUAGCUGGUCUGAGAGGAUGAUCAGCCACACUGGAACUGAGACACGGUCCAGACUCCUACGGGAGGCAGCAGUGAGGAAUAUUGCGCAAUGGGGGCAACCCUGACGCAGCAACGCCGCGUGAGUGAGGAAGGUUUUCGGACUGUAAAGCUCUGUCGAGCGGGAAGAAAUGUACCAUGGCUAAUAUCCAUGAUAUUUGACGGUACCGCUAGAGG